GCCGGCCGUGGUGUAGGUGCCUUCGAGCGUCUUGUGCGCGCUCGCGAGGCCGCCGUCCACGUCGCCGCCGCCGGUG
rnacentral:tRNA from 1 species